GAUGAAGAACGCAGCGAAAUGCGAUAAGUAGUGUGAAUUGCAGAAUUCAGUGAAUCAUCGAAUCUUUGAACGCACAUUGCGCCCUUCGGUAUUCCUUAGGGCAUGCCUGUUCGAGCGUCAUUUAAACCUUCAAGCUAAGCUUGGUGUUGGGUGACUGUCCGCUUCACGGCGGACUCGCCUCAAAAUUAUUGGCGGCCGGUACAUUGGCUUCGAGCGCAGCAGAAACGCGAACUCGGGCCCGUCGUAUUGGCUCCCAGAAGCUAUCUUCACAAUUUUGACCUCGGAUCAGGUAGGGAUACCCGCUGAACUUAAGCAUAUCAAUAAGCGGAGGA
rnacentral:misc_RNA from 1 species